rnacentral:rRNA from 1 species
UGGGGAAUCUUGGACAAUGGGGGCAACCCUGAUCCAGCCAUGCCGCGUGAGUGAUGAAGGCCUUAGGGUCGUAAAGCUCUUUCGCCUGUGAAGAUAAUGACGGUAGCAGGUAAAGAAACCCCGGCUAACUCCGUGCCAGCAGCCGCGGUAAUACGGAGGGGGUUAGCGUUGUUCGGAAUUACUGGGCGUAAAGCGCACGUAGGCGGACCAGAAAGUUGGGGGUGAAAUCCCGGGGCUCAACCCCGGAACUGCCUCCAAAACUAUUGGUCUAGAGUUCGAGAGAGGUGAGUGGAAUUCCAAGUGUAGAGGUGAAAUUCGUAGAUAUUUGGAGGAACACCAGUGGCGAAGGCGGCUCACUGGCUCGAUACUGACGCUGAGGUGCGAAAAGUGUGGGGAGCAAACAGGAUUAGAUACCCUGGUAGUCCACACCGUAAAACGAUGAAUGCCAGUCGUCGGGUAGCAUGCUAUUCGGUGACACACCUAACGGAUAAGCAUUCCGCCUGGGGAGUACGGUCGCAAGAUUAAAACUCAAAUGAAUUG